rnacentral:sRNA from 1 species
GCUGGGCGUGGUGAUGUGUGCCUGUAGUCCCAGCAGCUCAGAAGGCUGAGGCCGGAGGAUCACAAAUUUGAGGCCAGCCUCAGCAACUUAGCGAGGCUCUAAGAAACUUAGUGAGAUCCUGUCUCUA